rnacentral:rRNA from 1 species
CCUACGGGAGGCAGCAGUGGGGAAUAUUGGACAAUGGGCGAAAGCCUGACCCAGCGACGCCGCGUGCGGGAAGAAGGCCUUCGGGUUGUAAACCGCUUUCAGGAGGGAAGAAGCGAAAGUGACGGUACCUCCAGAAGAAGCCCCGGCCAACUACGUGCCAGCAGCCGCGGUAAU